rnacentral:rRNA from 1 species
AACGAACGCUGGCGGUAUGCUUUACACAUGCAAGUCGAACGGGUAAGAGCCGUAGCAAUACGGAAUUCUGCUAGUGGCAAACGGGUGAGUAACGCGUGGGAACCUACCUUAUAGUACGGAAUAGCCCCGGGAAACUGGGAUUAAUACCGUAUACGCUCUUCGGAGGAAAGAUUUAUCGCUAUAAGAUGGGCCCGCGUUAGAUUAGCUAGUUGGUGAGGUAAUGGCUCACCAAGGCGACGAUCUAUAGCUGGUUUGAGAGGAUGAUCAGCCACACUGGAACUGAGACACGGUCCAGACUUCUACGGGAGGCAGCAGUGGGGAAUAUUGGACAAUGGGCGAAAGCCUGAUCCAGCAAUACCGUGUGAGUGAUGAAGGCCUUAGGGUUGUAAAACUCUUACAGUAGGGAAGAUAAUGACGGUACCUACAGAAGAAGCACCGGCUAACUCCGUGCCAGCCGCCACGGUAA